rnacentral:rRNA from 1 species
AGAGUUUGAUCCUGGCUCAGAAUCAACGCUGGCGGCGCGCCUAACACAUGCAAGUCGAACGAGAAAGUGGAGCAAUCCAUGAGUACAGUGGCGUACGGGUGAGUAACACGUGGGUAAUCUACCUCUUAGUGGGGAAUAACCAGGGGAAACUCUGGCUAAUACCGCAUAAGCCUGAGAAGGGAAAGCAGCAAUGCGCUGAGAGAGGAGCCCGCGGCCGAUUAGCUAGUUGGUGGGGUAAGAGCCCACCAAGGCAGAGAUCGGUAGCCGGCCUGAGAGGGCACACGGCCACACUGGCACUGAAACACGGGCCAGACUCCUACGGGAGGCAGCAGUGGGGAAUCUUGCACAAUGGGGGAAACCCUGAUGCAGCGACGCCGCGUGAGCGAUGAAGCCCUUCGGGGUGUAAAGCUCUUUCGUCAGGGACGAUAAUGACGGUACCUGGAGAAGCAGCUGCGGCUAACUACGUGCCAGCAGCCGCGGUAAUACGUAGGCAGCAAGCGUUGUUCGGAGUUACUGGGCGUAAAGGGUGUGUAGGCGGUUCUUUAAGUUUGGUGUGAAAUCUCCCGGCUCAACUGGGAGGGUGCGCCGAAUACUGAGGGACUAGAGUACGGGAGAGGAAAGUGGAAUUCCUGGUGUAGCGGUGAAAUGCGUAGAUAUCAGGAGGAACACCGGUGGUGUAGACGGCUUUCUGGACCGUAACUGACGCUGAGACACGAAAGCGUGGGUAGCAAACAGGAUUAGAUACCCUAGUAGUCC